rnacentral:rRNA from 1 species
GACGAACGCUGGCGGCGCGCCUAACACAUGCAAGUCGAACGGAGCUGAGAGAAGCUUGCUUUUCUUAGCUUAGUGGCGCAAGGGUGAGUAACGCGUGAGUAACCUGCCCUGGAGUGGGGGACAACAGUUGGAAACGACUGCUAAUACCGCAUAAGCUCACGAUCCGGCAUCGGAUUGAGGGAAAAGGGUUUAUUCGCUUCAGGAUGGACUCGCGUCCAAUUAGCUAGUUGGUGAGGUAACGGCGCACCAAGGCGACGAUUGGUAGCCGGACUGAGAGGUUGAGCGGCCACAUUGAGACUGAGACACGGCCCAGACUCCUGCGGGAGGCAGCAGUGGGGGAUAUUGCACAGUAGGGGAAACGCUGAUGCAGCGACGCCGCGUGGAGGAAGAAGGUUUUCGGAUUGUAAACUCCUGUCGUUAGGGAUGAUAGUGAGGGUACCUAACAAGAAAGCACCGGCUAACUACGUG